ACUUAGCCCUGAUAGAAACGGAAAUCCUUUUUGGGUUUUCUUUAAAACCAAAAAUAUUGAAGUGAAUAGCAGGAAAUAGC
rnacentral:sRNA from 1 species